rnacentral:rRNA from 1 species
GUUGUAUGGUUAAGUGACUAAGCGUACACGGUGGAUGCCUGGGCAGUCAGAGGCGAUGAAGGACGUACUAACUUGCGAUAAGCGCAGAUAAGGCAGUAAGAGCCGUUUGAGUCUGCGAUUUCCGAAUGGGGAAACCCAACUGCAUAAGCAGUUACUGUUAACUGAAUACAUAGGUUAACAGAGCAAACCGGGGGAACUGAAACAUCUAAGUACCCCGAGGAGAAGAAAUCAACCGAGAUUCCGGUAGUAGCGGCGAGCGAACCUGGAUUAGCCCUUAAGCACUCGGUGAAGUAGGUGAACAAGCUGGAAAGCUUGGCGAUACAGGGUGAUAGCCCCGUAACCGACGCUUCAUCGAGCGUGAAAUCGAGUAGGGCGGGACACGUGAUAUCCUGUCUGAAUAUGGGGGGACCAUCCUCCAAGGCUAAAUACUCCUGACUGACCGAUAGUGAACCAGUACCGUGAGGGAAAGGCGAAAAGAACCCCUGUGAGGGGAGUGAAAUAGAACCUGAAACCGUGUACGUACAAGCAGUAGGAGCACCUUCGUGGUGUGACUGCGUACCUUUUGUAUAAUGGGUCAGCGACUUAUAUUCAGUGGCAAGGUUAACCGUAUAGGGGAGCCGUAGCGAAAGCGAGUCUUAACUGGGCGCUCAGUCUCUGGAUAUAGACCCGAAACCGGGUGAUCUAGCCAUGGGCAGGUUGAAGGUUGAGUAACAUCAACUGGAGGACCGAACCGACUAAUGUUGAAAAAUUAGCGGAUGACUUGUGGCUAGGGGUGAAAGGCCAAUCAAACUCGGAGAUAGCUGGUUCUCCCCGAAAGCUAUUUAGGUAGCGCCUCGGACGAAUACUACUGGGGGUAGAGCACUGUUAAGGCUAGGGGGUCAUCCCGACUUACCAACCCUUUGCAAACUCCGAAUACCAGUAAGUACUAUCCGGGAGACACACGGCGGGUGCUAACGUCCGUCGUGGAGAGGGAAACAACCCAGACCGCCAGCUAAGGUCCCAAAGUAUUGCUAAGUGGGAAACGAUGUGGGAAGGCUCAGACAGCUAGGAUGUUGGCUUAGAAGCAGCCAUCAUUUAAAGAAAGCGUAAUAGCUCACUAGUCGAGUCGGCCUGCGCGGAAGAUGUAACGGGGCUAAGCAAUACACCGAAGCUGCGGCAAUGUCUUUUAGAUAUUGGGUAGGGGAGCGUUCUGUAAGCCGUUGAAGGUGGAUCGUAAGGUUUGCUGGAGGUAUCAGAAGUGCGAAUGCUGACAUGAGUAACGACAAAGGGGGUGAAAAACCUC